GAUGAACGCUGGCGGCGUGCCUAAUACAUGCAAGUCGAGCGAAGCGGGGACGGGUGAGUAACACGUGGAUAACCUCCUAUAAGACUGGGAUAACUUCGGGAAACCGGAGCUAACCCGGAAACUGAUAGAUGGAUCUGAGCUGCAUUAGCUAGUUGGGAAGGUAACGGCUUACCAAGGCAACGAUGCCUAGCCGACCUAAGAGGGUGAUCGGCCACACUGGAACUGAGACACGGUCCAGACUCCUACGGGAGGCAGCAGUAGGGAAUCUUCCGCAAUGGGCGAAAGCCUGACGGAGCAACGCCGCGUGAGUGAUGAAGGCCUUCGGAUCGUAAAACUCUGUUAUUAGGGAAGCGGUACCCAAUCAGAAAGCCACGGCUAACUACGUGCCAGCAGCCGCGGUAAUAC
rnacentral:rRNA from 1 species